AAUCAACGCUGGCGGCGUGCCUAACACAUGCAAGUCGCACGAGAAAAUCCCCGCAAGGGAGUGAGUACAGUGGCGUACGGGUGAGUAACACGUGACUAACCUACCCUAAAGUGGGGGAGUAACCUCGGGAAACCGGGGCGUAAUACCGCAUACUCUCGCGAGGUGAAGAUCCUUGUGAGCAAAGCCGAAAGGCGCUUAUGGAGGGGGUCGCGGCUGAUUAGCUAGUUGGCGGGGUAAUGGCCCACCAAGGCAAUGAUCAGUAUCCGGCCUGAGAGGGCGCACGGACACACUGGAACUGAAACACGGUCCAGACUCCUACGGGAGGCGAGCAGUGGGGAAUUUUGCGCAAGUGGGGGAAACCCUGACGCAGCAACGCCGCGUGGAGGAUGAAGUCCCUUGGGACGUAAACUCCUUUCGAUCGGGACGAUUAUGACGGUACCGGAAGAAGAAGCCCCGCUACUUCGUGCCAGCAGCCGCCGCGGUAAC
rnacentral:rRNA from 1 species